UGGCGGCGUGCCUAAUACAUGCAAGUCGAACGGUCCUUCUAUGGAAGCUUGCUUCCACUGAGAAGAUAGUGGCGAACGGGUGAGUAACACGUGGGUAACCUGCCCAUAAGAGGGGGAUAACAUCCGGAAACGGGUGCUAAUACCGCAUAGUUUUCUUGAUCGCAUGAUUGAGAAAGGAAAGACGGCCUUUGUGCUGUCGCUUAUGGAUGGACCCGCGGCGUAUUAGUUAGUUGGUGAGGUAACGGCUCACCAAGACGAUGAUACGUAGCCGACCUGAGAGGGUGAUCGGCCACAUUGGGACUGAGACACGGCCCAAACUCCUACGGGAGGCAGCAGUAGGGAAUCUUCCGCAAUGGACGAAAGUCUGACGGAGCAACGCCGCGUGAGUGAAGAAAAGGUUUUCGGAUCGUAAAACUCUGUUGUCAGAGAAGAACAAGUUGGAGAGUAACUGCUCCAGCCUUGACGGUAUCUGACCAGAAAGCCACGGCUAACUACGUGCCAGCAGCCGC
rnacentral:rRNA from 1 species